GAUGAACGCUGGCGGCGUGCCUAAUACAUGCAAGUCGAGCGAACGGACGAGAAGCUUGCUUCUCUGAUGUUAGCGGCGGACGGGUGAGUAACACGUGGAUAACCUACCUAUAAGACUGGGAUAACUUCGGGAAACCGGAGCUAAUACCGGAUGAUAUUUUGAACCGCAUGGUUCAAAAGUGAAAGACGGUCUUGCUGUCACUUAUAGAUGGAUCCGCGCUGCAUUAGCUAGUUGGUAAGGUAACGGCUUACCAAGGCAACGAUGCAUAGCCGACCUGAGAGAGUGAUCGGCCACACUGGAACUGAGACACGGUCCAGACUCCUACGGGAGGCAGCAGUAGGGAAUCUUCCGCAAUGGGCGAAAGCCUGACGGAGCAACGCCGCGUGGGUGAUGAAGGUCUUCGGAUCGUAAAACUCUGUUAUUAGGGAAGAACAUAUGUGUAAGUAACUGUGCACAUCUUGACGGUACCUAAUCAGAAAGCCACGGCUAACUACGUG
rnacentral:rRNA from 1 species